AAACCGCUCAGAGGUAAACGGGUGGAUCCGCAAAGUCGACCCGCGGAAUUCAGCGCGGCGCGCAGACCUGGGCUGCUGGGGUUUGGGAUCCCUCGGACCCGACCUCGGUGCCGACCGGGUCUCCGCCGCGUGCACUUUCCGCGGGCAGAGUGCCACAACCGGUUCGGUGGCGGCUACAAGCUUUGGAGGUUGCAGGUGGGGGCGCUUGCGUCCCUACCAGCCUUCAUUGCCGAGCCGCCGGCCGGACCGAGGGACCGCCGCGCGCUUCGAGGCCACCCUCCUCUCCUCAUGAGUACGACUGGGAGAGACUGGGCAACCGUGUCUCCCGACCGCUGAUCUGUGAUUGGCGUGGGGCUGGCCGGGCGCGCACUGUCAGGGUUGGUGGCAAAUCUGUCGGCAUUCCACCCGACCCGUCUUGAA
rnacentral:rRNA from 3 species